rnacentral:rRNA from 1 species
GACGAACGCUGGCGGCGUGCUUAACACAUGCAAGUCGAACGGUGAAGGGGCCUGCUUUUGUGGGCCCUGGAUGAGUGGCGAACGGGUGAGUAACACGUGAGUAACCUGCCCCCUUCUUCUGGAUAACCGCAUGAAAGUGUUGCUAAUACGGGACAUUCUGGGUCUGUCGCAUGAUGGGUCUGGGAAAGAUUGCGCCUUUGGGUGUUUUUGGUGGGGGAUGGGCUCGCGGCCUAUCAGCUUGUUGGUGGGGUGAUGGCCUACCAAGGCGGUGACGGGUAGCCGGCCUGAGAGGGUGGACGGUCACACUGGGACUGAGACACGGCCCAGACUCCUACGGGAGGCAGCAGUGGGGAAUAUUGCACAAUGGGCGCAAGCCUGAUGCAGCGACGCCGCGUGAGGGAUGGAGGCCUUCGGGUUGUAAACCUCUUUCGCAAGUGAAGCAGGCCUGCUCCUUGUGGGUGGGUUGACGGUAGCUGGAUAAGAAGCGCCGGCUAACUACGUG